CGAGUGGCGGACGGGGUGAGUAAUGUCUGGGAAACUGCCUGAUGGAGGGGGAUAACUACUGGAAACGGUAGCUAAUACCGCAUAACGUCGCAAGACCAAAGAGGGGGACCUUCGGGCCUCUUGCCAUCGGAUGUGCCCAAAUGGGAUUAGCUAGUAGGUGGGGUAACGGCUCACCCAGGCGACGAUCCCUAGCUGGUCUGAGAGGAUGACCAGCCACACUGGAACUGAGACACGGUCCAG
rnacentral:rRNA from 1 species